UCGUAAGUGUUUAAGGGCACAUGGUGGAUGCCUUGGCAUCGAGAGCCGAUGAAGGACGUGGGAGGCUGCGAUAUGCCUCGGGGAGCUGUCAACCGAGCGUUGAUCCGAGGAUUUCCGAAUGGGGAAACCCAGCACGAGUUAUGUCGUGUUACCCGUACCUGAAUAUAUAGGGUGCGGGAGGUAACGCGGGGAA
rnacentral:rRNA from 1 species